GAUCAGCGAGCCGCUUCUGUCAGUGUUGCCGGCCUCGGCGCCCACAAGGAUGGGUGUGAUUCCCCUUCGCGCCUCGGUGGGUCUGUUUUGGUGCCGUCGGUGGUGGCUGACGUAACAUGCUUUGACAGGGAGCGAGCGAGGAACCUUGACUACAACUCCCAGAAGGCCCCACUGAUGACGUUGUGGUGUUGUUUCGGUGUAAGCUUUCCCACCACAGAUGUAAGGCUCAAUGGUCUAUAAUUAUCGGGACUAUCCCUACUACCCUUUUUGAACAAGGGGACAACAUUCGCCUCCCUCCAAUACUCCGGUACAAUUCCCGUGGACAAUGAGGACAUAAUGAUCUUCGCCAGAGGCUCAGCAAUCUAUUUCCUUGCCUCGGAUGCAGAACUGGGAAGCGCAGAUGGAGUUCAACACAGAUGAAGAGGUUCAUUUCUGCAGGUCAAAUUUGAACACAGAAUAUAAUAUUAAUGGAGGAGGCAGCUUUUUUUGUGAACACAGUUCUUAAAUAUUCUCUCUCUCUUCGGCUGUCACUCAGAAUCCAGCUCCAGCCUCUUAAAGUGACACUCGGAGUUAAGGAAACAGGAGCUGGUAACAGGUGUGUCGGUUGCUUUGGGGUGCACACUGACUGGAGGGUAGAAGGUGGGUUUUUCGGUGAGCACAGAUUUGUGGGUGCACACCGAUUUGCAGAUAUGUGAAGAGUGGGUGUGUUUGCGGAUUCGGGGGUGCACUCUGACUGGAGGGUUGAAUGUGGUUUUUUUCGGUGAGCACAGAUUUGUGGGUGCACACCGAUUUGCAGAUAUGUGAAGAGUGGGUGUGUUGGCGGAUUCGGGGGUGAACACUGACUUGGGGGAACCGGUGGAUUUCGAGGUGUUACAAAUCUCAUGGUUUUUCCCUUUAUACGGACUUCAAUAAUAAAUGCAAUAUGAAAUUUGA